AAAGGUAUGAAAUUUAUCUUACAAGAAAUAAUUAUCUGAUUAUAACACAGAUUUACGGAUAUAUGAAGUGUCGUAGUGACCACUGGAAAGGGUCCUUGAAGUCAUCAAUAUCAGGAGGUAUGCAUAUAAUAGUGUUCUGAAUAUAAUAGCCUUAAGGUCCACAAUUCUCUGUUCUCAUGAAUUAAUUUUAGGUGUAACUUGUUGGUCUUAUUUCAGGCUGUUGCUCUCUUUUAUGCAGGAACAACUAAAUCCCAUCCACCAAUAUCCGAGCAUCUGUCCCACGAAGCAAAUGACUUCUGGUUAAAAUGUUUACACAAAUUUUUAUUCCCUUCUUACUAAGUCUUCGUGUUCAACUCAUAAAUUUUGCACCAUUUACUAAAAACAAUCUGUUUGAGGUUGUCAAACGUAUUGCGCAUGAUUUUGUUGACGAGGUAAUUACUCGAGUCUCCGUACUCUAUAAUUUCCGUCAAGACUUAUUUGUGUUGGUGUUUUCUCUAUGUGUUGAUGUAUAUCCUUGCGUUCUCAUAACUUCUUUUUCCAGUGGAGUAAACCUCUGAAAUCGGAGUAUGUUAUACAGGUUCAUUCAUCCGAGAUUAUCGUGCCUUAUCAUAAGUCUUCAAGAGCCUUACGCAUUCGUUUUCCUGUGAAAUGAGGUUUAGAAUUCGUUUUGAACAGGAGAUUCUUUUGAACGAAGUGACCUGCAAGAUGACCUGGUUCAAAAUGGAAGUGUCUACCGGUAAUAGGUAGUUUCUUGAUUUUGGCUUGACAAUUUCAUACUUCAUCGAUUUUCAUGCUCUACACUUUCAGGUAUCUUUUGUAAUAUUUCUGUUUAUAUGUAAUAUUUGGUAAUAUUGAUUGUUAAAUCUCUAAAUCUACUAGUACUUAGUUGUGUGAGCAUGUUUCCUCUAUAUGAAGCAGUAUCACAUACAUCACAUGUAUUAGUUUGUUGUUUAUUCUCAGAGAUUUUUUCACAUGAGUAUUUAGUUGUUUACUGAUUAAAUGCACAUAU